UGAAGAGAUUCCACUCAAUCAGCUU
rnacentral:piRNA from 1 species